GGCGCCGCCAGCGUCAUGGGUUGCCGGUUCGCGCCGGCCUAAGAGGGAACGGGGUCCAAUGCCCCGGCUGCCCCCGCAACUGUGACCGGGGAGCGAUCCCGCCAUACGCCACUGUGCCGCAAGGCACGGGAAGGCGGCGGGAAAGCGACGAUCCGGGAGCCAGGAGACCUGCCCAUGCGUGUCGUUCGGC
rnacentral:ncRNA from 2 species